rnacentral:rRNA from 1 species
UACAGAGGUCCCAAGCGUUGUUCGGAUUCAUUGGGCGUAAAGGGUGCGUAGGCGGCGCGGUAAGUCGGGUGUGAAAUCUCGGAGCUUAACUCCGAAACUGCAUUCGAUACUGCCGUGCUUGAGGACUGGAGAGGAGACUGGAAUUCAUGGUGUAGCAGUGAAAUGCGUAGAGAUCAUGAGGAAGACCAGUGGCGAAGGCGGGUCUCUGGGCCGAAUACUGACGCUGGAGGAGCGAAAGCGUGGGGAGCGAACAGG